rnacentral:piRNA from 1 species
GAAGGAUGAACUGUUGGUGGAAUUAGC